rnacentral:rRNA from 1 species
GUGGGGAAUAUUGGACAAUGGGCGCAAGCCUGAUCCAGCAAUGCCGCGUGAGUGAUGAAGGCCUUCGGGUUGUAAAGCUCUUUCGCACGCGACGAUGAUGACGGUAGCGUGAGAAGAAGCCCCGGCUAACUUCGUGCCAGCAGCCGCGGUAAUACGAAGGGGGCUAGCGUUGUUCGGAAUUACUGGGCGUAAAGGGCGCGUAGGCGGUACUUCAAGUCAGGCGUGAAAGCCCCGGGCUCAACCUGGGAACCGCGCUUGAGACUGGAGAACUAGAGUUCGGGAGAGGAUGGUGGAAUUCCCAGUGUAGAGGUGAAAUUCGUAGAUAUUGGGAAGAACACCGAUGGCGAAGGCAGCCAUCUGGACCGACACUGACGCUGAGGCGCGAAAGCGUGGGGAGCAAACAGGAUUAGAAACCCCAGUAGUCC